rnacentral:lncRNA from 1 species
AGAAUUGUUAGCUGUACAUUCCCGCCUGGCAUAGGUCAUCUGACCUUGACCUCAUUUUCAUGGUUCAUUGGAAUGUUUAUUUUUCUUGGUAAAUGUUAAUUUUAUGUGACAGUUGUAAUAAAGCUUUAUAUUUAGGACUAUCAACAUAAUAUCAAUGUUUAAUAAAGAAGACGGGACAUUUCAGCUUGUGCACUCUUGUCUUGGUUAAUAUAAAAAAGAAGAUGUGGUAUGAUUGCCAAUGAGACAACCGUCCACAAGAGACCAAAAUGAAACAGAAAUUAACAACUAUAACUAAACAAGUCUGUUUCUUAGAAGCAAUAAGAAUUAGGUGAACUAUAUUUAGUGUAUUGAAUGAUUGUAAGGCGAGAC